UCCCAAAGGAAAAAGAAAAAAAUAAAAGGGUAAGUGGAUGUUAGGAUAUAGAUAUUCAGGCCUGUCUGUAAAGGCCUAGACUCUAUGAAUUUAGGGGUAUUCUUAUCACUUCGCUAAUUCUAGAGGUAUAAAAGAAAGAAUCAAAGUCACUGUCUGCCGGUGUAAGAGCCUUCUCUUACUG